CUUGCCCAUGUAUCUGUCUGAAAGGAUCCAUAUCAACCACCCCAGCAGUUAUCUUUUCCUAAGACUACAGACUUAAUAUGUCGUGGCUGAUAAGCUGUUCCACUCUCCCUUUGUUAAUGUCAUUAUGCCUUACUUUUUCAAAGGUUACAAGCAAACUGUUUUUAUCAAAGAGCACAAAGCAAAUACAAAAACGAAUUAUCACAGGCGUGACGCCUCUUCGUUGCUUUCCCGCUUAAAGUCAAGCACCUGUGCCUCCAAGUGGAAUUAGAUAUUCUUUGUUUGGGACUGCUGGACUAAAACUAAACUUUUCAGUUUUAGACCAGAUGAAAAAAAAAAUGCACCUUUUAGUUGUUUAUAUGUGAUACCUCUUACCGCUGUACAAUCCUGAUUCUGAAAAAAAGUUUAAUACACAAUGUAAAACACAAAUAAAACACAAUGCAAUGAUCUCCAAAUUCCUUUAAACGCAUAUUCAACUGAAUACAGUACAAACACAACAUAUUUAAUAUUCAAACUCAUAAACUUUAUUUGUUGUAAAACGAUACUUAACUUGAUACCUGCAACAUGUUCCAAAACUGUUGGGAGAGAGGCAUGUCUUGCAUUAAAUUUUCUUAUCUUUUCAGUAAAGUGAGAAACAUUGUUCUUAAACUGUCAGAGUAUUGGACCCCAUGCCCAUCUGUGCUUGUGACCAGCUGAGCCUUUCAAAAAUGCUCUUUUCAUACCUCAUCAUGAUGCUAUCGCCUGUUACCAAUGAACCUGUUUACCUGUGGAAUGCUCCAAAUAUUCCAGUCUUUUGUUGUCCUGAGUUGUUUGGUGGCAUCAAAUUCAGAAUAAGUCAGUAUUUACACAAAAGUAAUGACGCUGAUGAGGUAUAACAUUAAACGUUCUGUCUUUGUACUGUUUUCAGUUAAAUAUAUGUCAAAAAGUCCUUAAUCAGGAUUACCUGAUUAUCAUAUUCUGUUUAAUUUACAUUUCACACAGUGACCCAGCUUUUUUCAAAGCAGGGUUGUAGUAGGUGUGUAUCAUAAAAGGUCUUUGCAAGACUGGUUUGCAAAAUGUGAACCAUAAAAAUGUAAAUUGUGGACUACAAAAAUGUUGGCGUGGGCAUGAGGAUGAACUUUGCACUUUGCUUUUUUAAAAAAGCAAGAACCUAUAGCUUAGUUGUGCCACCACAACCCCUUUGCCUUUGAAAAAAACAUCAACCCAAUAUCUGACAAGUAAUAAAUCAUAUACACCCUUUUUUAAUGAAUUUUUCUGCUAUUUUGGUAAUUAAUCCAAAAGAAUGAGAUGUUAAACUGUAAAACAAACAUUUCGAAUCCUAAAAGGAAAUAUUUUACACGUGACUGUGCCUCAGCUUGGCAUUCCUUCCUUUUUUUUAAAGCCUUACUCUUUAAGUGUUUUUGUCAAACACGAAUAUUUUUUCAGAGGUUCGUGAGGUGUGUAAAACAUGCUUUAAUAUAUUCUGCUCCCAUUAAAACUCAGCAUGCAAGUCUCAUAAGCCGUGUUUACAAAUAAUACAAAUACACUGUAUGCUUCACUCUUCCAAAAUACUUCAAGUCCAGAAUAAGUUCAGCAUCUUGAUGGUGAAAAUAAAUAGCUUGCUCUGACUUCUUCUGGCAUGGCUCCACUUCACCUUAUGUUUAAAUUAAAGCGCAAUUCACCUCCUAAAACACAAACAAAAAGCGUGCUAGAUUUAGACCGUAAAAGCAAGUAGUCCUUCCUACUUCAAACUUGAAAGGUUGCGGCUAAAUGUGUUGGAAGAAAGUUUCAACUGUUGUGAAUAGUUAAGUGCUGUUUUUGAGAUAUCUGAAAAAUUCAGCCCGGUAUCCCUAGCAAUUGCAAUAGGAAGUGCUACAUUUCAUCUCAGAUGGGACAGUCAGUGAAGUCGGUCGGUUCAGACAGGCACAAGUGCACAUUUCCACCAUGUUGCCUAUCAACAUGACGUCACAUACAGCAGCUCCACUGUUCAGCCAUCAACACAGAUAUAAUACAUUUCAGAGGUUGUGCCUCAUUUUUCCAUGCCGUACUUUAACAUAUCAGCUGUCAUAUAAAAUCAAUGGGAAAAAGGCCUUUCUUAAAUAGAAAUGGCACAAAUAAGGGCUGUGUUGGAACAGAUGCAUGCCACGUACACAAACAUAUACUAACAUCACCUUUCACUUUAAACCCCCAAUUAUUAAUCAUUUGAUUUCCAAAGAUAUAUGCUGGAAUGGUGAACAAGACGCAGGAUUUUUGAAUGGCCAUCAAAAAACGUGGAGUUUUAGGUUUGAAUCUUGGACUGUGUAAACAAUACAUUCACCCAAGUGCUGGAGCAAACACAUGCAGAAUGUAUCAGUGAUAAUAAGUUGGGCCAUCAACUGGCACAUUAAAGAAAACAUGUUUGCUUCAGUCUAAACAGAAUCAUAGCAAACAGUUAGCGGGCUGUGACUAAAAAGCCAGUGUUUGCUAUACAUUGCUUUGACAUGUUGUCAGCAACUGCCUCUGUGUUGUACGUUUAGAUUUUAUAGAUGCGUACUGUUGCAUUGAAUAGCCACUGCAGCUGUUGUUGGCCAUAUAAAGUUGCUUAGUUUGGGUCAGUCCCAUUUAUGACCUCAGCACCCCACUGCGGUGGCACAGCAUUCCUUAUGCAAACCCUAUGGGAAAAGCCAAUAGUACCUGGUGCCAUUCUGGGCUGACAGUAAACAUCUGUAAGUUUGCAAACAUUUUUAAGAUGCAACUUCUUUUUUUGUUCAAUUUUUCCCACUAAGGCUUGUGGAGAUUAAUCCAAAUCAUGGAGUAGCAUACAGCAUAGUGAGGUCACAAAUGUCCUUUCCAUCUAUUACUAGCUAUGGUCUUAUGACUGUAGCCUCCUUUCUCAUAUAUUUAAUCUCAUGCUAGCAAUUACUAGCUAUCAAAGUAGGGCUGGAUAUUGACUGAAAUGUGUAUAAUACUGAAUGCCAAACAACUGACAGAUUCCUUAUUCAUAGUCUUGAAUAUAAGAAUAUAAUAUAAUCAUGAUUUAAGCCACAAUUUAAAUUAAAACUGGAGGAUAACAAUCACUGAUCCAGGUGCCUGGCUACAUGCAUACAAUUGCCUACAAAUGCCUUCUUCAGCCACUAUCACAUGUUACUACUUACUAAUUAUUACUGUAUUUUACUUCAGUAGUUCUUGCCUGAAUGCUUAUGUUCAUAAAACAUUUGGCGUGAUUAAUAUACAACAUGGAGAAAAGAGGAGCCGCUCCAUGUACAGCUAUGAAAGGCUCAUUUCAAAGUAACAAAAACACAAUGAUCGUUAGUUUCAGGUGCUUGUUUGUUAAUCAAAUCAUAAUUCAAUCAAUAUUAUAUUCAUGUUUUUGCCACUCAACCUAAAAUUAGUUUGUCAAACUCCUCUACCCAAGUUCAAGAGCAAACUUUGAUGCUCAUCGUUUGAGUGCUGUUGCUUCUUCUGUAAAAGGAAAAAGAGAUUUUGUAGAACACAGUUUAUACUUCAUAUAUUGUUUUGGUGUCUGUAUCAAAACUCUGCUAUCAUAUACAUGUGACCCACAAAAAAUUCAGUCAAUACUCAGCCCUGUAACAAUGCAACUGAAGGUGGAAAAGUCAGAAAGUUAAUGUUAAUUGUUGAUAAAGAUUACAUAUUUUACCUGUAAAACAGACACUUUUUCUACUUUCCGGAGGCGUUGGACUGCACGCUAUGUGUCAGAAAUGUGAACUUUACAGGCAAACAUCAGCUUCCACCUUUCAAACUUCUUUUCACCUCAGCAGUUAAGAGAUGGUGCAUCUUAUUUUCAUGAAAUAUUUAAUGCAUAUAUAACCCAAUAGCGUUAUCAUUUACCUCACAUACUCAUCUUGUUUUUUCAUGCUCAAAGAUUGAAAAAUGAUAAACUAGAAAAGUUAAAUGCCCCCUUUUUCCUUCCUGAAUAAUAGGACUUGAUGAGACAUGUAAGGAGACAAUAUUUUUCUGGGUUGUGUGAAGAAUUGAAUGUGUAAUGUUUCAAAGCAUUUAUAGAAGUUUGCUAUUUGUUUCUUGUGAAGAUUUGUGGUUUUACAAGAGAUAUUAGUAAACCGCUAUUCUUUUUUUUUUCAUAGCACUUUUUUUGUAAAUUUGAAUGCUUUUAUUUCCUCCAAUACUUUUUUUUUUGUUUAAAGUCUUUAUUACAAAUGUAUAGAUGAUAUAUUUAGCUCUUUUAGAGAACAGUAUCAUGUAAAUACAAUAUAAAAUGUUUUAUUUUUACAGGUACAAUUUUGACAGUGUUUUUUCCUAUCAAAGUGUCAUUUUGCUUUACUUGCACAAGUGUUCUGUGUAUCUCAUUGAGGGGGUCUUUUAACAAACAGUGUACCUUUAACACAGAUUUUUGUAGGCCUAGUUUUUCAGGCCUUCUCUGACUAUUCAACCGCUGGUUUAGGUGAGAGCACAAGGGAUAAUGAAGCUUAAUUAGAUAGCACUUAAUUGUAUCAUCUUUUCAUAGUUUGUUUAAUUAGUUGUUAAAAAAACAAACCAGAUAUAUGUUCAGUAACUCCUAGGAUGAUUUUGUCCAUCAUCCUCUGACCUCAGUGUGACAUAUUAUGACAAAUGAUAAAAAAAAAAAAAAAGACUUCUUAGUGGUUUCUGUAAGAAAGGUGUUGCACGAAUGCAAAGUUUUCAAAUCAGCUAACUGCAGUAUCAACUUUAUGAAUAACAUGACAUGAUCCAGGGAUUUGACGUGGGAGGGUAAAAGCAACAAGCUGUGGAUCAAAGCUGAAAGGUAGAAAAGCUCUACACAUUAAAGUCUAGUAUCAGAUUACAUUCACAAUUCUGAAGUGAAUGUGAACUGUACUAGGAAGAAGAAAUAGGAAAAACAGAAUGUCUCCUAAAGCUGAGUGGUGACCAGACAGGAGAUGCUCUUCAGUGAGAGGCACAGAACUUCAGCAGUUCAUGUCAAACUUCUUUAUAAGCUUCAGUGGUACCAGUGAACUCUAUUGAAUGUGUAUGUAAAAAACACUGCAAUACUGCAAUAUAUUUUGGUAUUGGAUCAAGCUGCUAACAUACUUCUAAAGCUCCUUAAGGUGCUACAGACCUCUUUUCUAGUUCUUAAAUGUAUCGUUUGUACAAAGUAUCCAGUUUAGCUGAACAGUUGGCAAUAUGCCUGGUUGUACUAUAUAGCUACAUAUAUUUUAUUGUACUGUGACUUUUGUAGUCUUUUGACAGACUUGCCUUUAAUAUCACACACAACCCCCUACCCCCUCGACACCUGAGUGUUGUUAUAUUGGGAAACUGAGUCACUGUGUGAAGACAUCAGUGCUGACACUGAGAAACACGACUCCAUGUGACGCCAUUCAAAAUGAGCAGAGGACGUUCAGAGAUGAACUGCAUUCCAGCCAUGUUGGUUUUGUUAUUUGUUGCAUUUCAACAAUGCCAUCCUGUGACAAUGAUGGACUCAUUGCUAAUUCUCAAUAUCUUACUUCAAAUCUAUUUUACAAACUACUGUUGUAUUUUUUAUAAAUAUAGGAAAAGUAAUUCAUAUAUAUAUAUACAUAUACAUAUAUAUGUAUAUGUAUAUAUGUACAUACAUAUAUAUAGGUUUAUAGGUUGUGCUAAAUAAAAAUGAAUGCUCCAGCUUUUAUCCGUUGUUCUUUAAAGAUUGACAUCAUCCAAAGAGGCAGAUUAUUUAUUGUCUGGCAGAAUAACCUGAUUUGAUUUACAUACCUUGCUGCUAUGAGAGAGAAGAGCUGCAGUUGUCAACUCCAGUGUUUUUACAAAAUGUAAUGAAAGUUCAGUAAACAUAAGUGAAGGAUC